rnacentral:rRNA from 1 species
GCCUACGGCCGCACCACCCUGAAUGCUCCCGAUCUCGGAAGUGAUCCAAGGCCGGGCCUUGUUAGUACCUGAAUGGGAGACCGCCUGGGAAUACCAGGGCUCUUAGGCU